rnacentral:rRNA from 1 species
CACGUAGGGCGCGAGCGUUUGUCCGGAAUUAUUGGGCGUAAAGAGCUCGUAGGCGGCCUGUUGCGUCCGCUGUGAAAGCCCGGGGCUUAACCCCGGGUCGGCAGUGGAUACGGGCAGGCUAGAGGUAGGUAGGGGAGAAUGGAAUUCCCGGUGUAGCGGUGAAAUGCGCAGAUAUCGGGAGGAACACCCGUGGCUAAGGCGGCUCUCUAGUACGGUACUGACGCUGAGACGCGAAAGCGUGGGGAGCGAACAGG